rnacentral:rRNA from 1 species
UUAAAUGGCCGCAGUAUAUUGACUGUGCUAAGGUAGCAUAAUCAUUAGUUUUUUAAUUGGAAGCUAGAAUGAAGGGUUGGAUGAAAAAAAAGCUGUCUCUAUUUAAUUUAAUUAAAAAUUUAUUUUUAAGUUAAAAAGCUUAAAUUUUUUUAGAAGACGAGAAGACCCUAUAGAGUUUUAUAAAUAAUUAAAUAAUUUAUUCAUUUAGUAUUAAAUUUUUAUUUUUUUUUAUUUAUUUAAUUGGGGUGAUUUAAAAAUUUAAUUAACUUUUUUUAUUAUUAUAUAUUUAUUUAUAAUUAGUUGAUCUUAUUAUAUUGAUUAUAAGAUAAAAUUACCUUAGGGAUAACAGCGUAAUUUUAUUAGAGAGUU